rnacentral:lncRNA from 1 species
AAUAAUCAUUUCCCAUUAUAUAUGUAGAAGUAUCUGUAUUACCAGCCAUGCAGUACCCAUGUUGCUGCAACAUAUCAACAUAUUACUGCAUAUUUCAUGUAAGAUCCCAAUUUUAAAGAGAACUAUAGCAAACGAAUUCAGGAAAAUUACAUCUUAAUACAUACUUCAAACAACAGCAGCAAAGCCUUAGUCCCAAACAAGUUGGGGUAGGCUAGAGGUGAGAUCCAUAAGAUCUCGCGACCAACUCAUGGUUCUGGCACAUGGAUAGCAAGCUUCCAC